CCUUUGGAGUAUUAAACAAAUCAGAGUACCUAUUAGGGAAAUGAAAUACAAUGAGAAAGGAA
rnacentral:ncRNA from 12 species